GUCCUCACUCUGGCAGCACAUAUACUAAAAUUGGAACGAUAUAAGAAGAUUAGCAUGGCCCCUGCACAAGGAUGACACGCACAUUCGUGAAGUGUUCCAUUUAUUU